CACGUGACCUCGUCAGUUAUCGCGGGCGCCAUUAUGUGGUGGAGUCCAGUCUAUGGUGGAAUGCUGUAGAAUUGGUUUUUACAAGAGCUCAUUAAAUAGCAAUCCUAUACUUGGGUUAUAGUCUACUUUUUCACAUGGUUUACAAGAGCAAUAAACAGCAUCCCAUGCUUGGGUUUUAGUAAACUUUUUCAUGUGAACAACAGCGUAGACAUGGAAAGAGAAUGCAUCCUCAAAAAGCACUGUGUGUAUACUUAAAGGAGGACCAUCUACAGCUGUUCAAGGAGUACAAUAAAACGUGCAAAUACUGAGUUCUCUUUCAAGUCUUGUGCUUCAGAGGCCAAAUUCGUACAAAAAUUAUAUCAACAUGACCGUCUUGGAUUGCGACUGGAUGAAUGCUAAAGAAGCCAUAGAGCAGAUGGUAAUGGGGAUCUACAUCGUCCAAUCCAUAGACGCCAACCAGGAGAUAAACCUGUGGACGUUGGUAUCCUGAUUGAAGGGACCGAGGUUCUCUGCUCUUUGAAGAACGUGUAGCAGUGGCCAUGCUGUUUGGACUUACUUACGCCUUGAACCUCAGCUACCCACAAGAACUCAAGGCUACAUUUGAGGUCAUCCAGAAAGUGUUCUUUAUCUUGGAUGGACAAAAACUUUCACUAAAGGCUAUAGAUGAACUCACAGAACCAGGGAAGGAAAUAAUUUUUUUUCCUCCCAAACCGCCGGGAAAGAUGACAGGGCCAGAUAAGUAUGUAAAAAAAAAAAAAAAAAUGUUUUUUGCAUAUUUGUUGAUGUUAUCAAAACACAUUUUCCUCUUUUACAGACUGUCAAUUGUUCAUGCAGUUGGAAUGCAGGAAUGCAGUUGGAAUUACUUAUUUCCUUUACCCUUACAUUAACAAGCGUGCUUCAAAAUAUUUGAUCUCAUUGGGAACCCAUUAAUAUUGUUUCCUUUUUAGAAUGAUUUAGUCAUUUUUAGAAUUAUUUAUUCAGUAUAAAAUAUGAGUUCUUGACAUCAGAGGAGGCCCUUUGUUCAACGGUUAUCAUUUACUUUCAUCAUUUACUCUCAUGUUGUUCCAAACCUAUAUAUUAUCUGAGAUCGGUGAAACACAAAGGCAGAUACAACAGAUAAAAUGUUUCCUUUUUUUAGGUGAACAAAUCCAUUAAUAUUAACUGCAAACAUCAUGCCAUUAUUUGAACAUCGGAUGAGAUGAGAUGUGCAAAUUUCAACAUAGUUUCCUGUUCAAAUCGAGCCAUGCUUCGGGUAAUAGUUAUACCGUUUGCAGUGGUGGACAGUAAUGGAGUAGCUUUACUUUGUUAGUGUAAUAAAGUAAAUUUUUCAAGUAUCUGUACAUUACUGGAGUAGUUUUAUUUAAAGUAACUUUUACUUCACUACAUUCCAAAGCAUAUGAUCGUACUUUUUACCUCACUACAUUUCAUACAUUUCGUUGCUCCUUAUAAUAUAUCACAUGCUCCAAUCCUGUUUUUAUACAGUCUUUGGCUCCAACACGCAGAAGCGGUGUCUGAUUCAAGAACGAACUGAUUCAGUGAACCUUUCAAAGCUUGUGUCAUGUGGUGCCCCCCUAGUUGUUGUGAAUGGUUGGUCCCCCUGGGCACUGGCCCAAGUGCCCUUAUGGAUAAUCUGGCUCUAAUCGCAGUGUAAGUUUCAUAGUGAAAAUUACUAUAUCACUCUCGUCAACCUCGUCCAUAUCAACAAAAAAAGUAUAUCUUGACUCCAUAUAGUGGUUAUUUUGGGAGAAUCCCAGGUAUUUUGCUAAAUAAAUCUAUCAGUACUUUUUUUACUCGAGUAAUUUUGUACUUUCACUGGAGUGAAAUUGAAAAAGGAGUACUUUUACUGGAGUAAUAGUUUAUUAUAUGGAUCUGUUCUUUUACACAAGUACUUGAUUUGUGUACUUCGUCCAGCACUGACCGUUGGCACCUUCUCAGUCACAUCUCUAAAAUGAAAAGCCUGUUACAUAGUUAAAGCCAAUUUUGUUAGCAAGGAAAUACUUUUAGUCCCACCAAACCACUACAGAAUUUGCAUGUCACCAGGAAACAUGGAAAUGUGAACGUCACAGCGCAAUAAUCUAUUCAAGCAAACAGUAAUAUUGGUUACUCAUUAUGGACUCAUUUAAAACCAUAGAUGUUAAGUUUAAACAGUGACUGGUCCAGUAAAAAGCACAGGACUAGAUGUUUAGUUUCCAGUAGUGCAAAAACAUUUUGAUCAUGUAUUAGAUUGUUAGAGCUAAUCUACUGCCUUUAAAGGGCCACAUAGCAAUUAUCUCGAAAUAUCGUUUUUAUUUAUACAUUGACUACUGCUCAUAGGAAUGGAUUCAAACCUUCCCAUUUACACAACUGUACUUCACCAGUGUGAGUAGCCCUCAAAAUAGAAAUCAAGUCCUUAAAGGGAUACUCCACCCCAAAAUAAAUAUUUUGUCAUUAAUUACUUGCCUCCAUGUCGUUCCAAACCCGUAAAAGCUUAAUUCGUCUCCAGAACACAAUUUAAGAUAUUUUGGAUGAA